UUCGCAAUGCCCGAAAGGGUGAACGAGCGACGCCGCGUGCGGGAUGAAGGCCUUCGGGUUGUAAACCGCUUUUGCAAGGGAAAAACUUAAUGAUGGUACCUUGCGAAUAAGAGGUUACUAACUCUGUGCCAGCAGUAGCGGUAAUACAGGGACCUCAAGCAUUAUCCGGAUUUAUUGGGCGUAAAGCGCGUGUAGGCGGAUGGGAACGUCGGUCUUUGAAAGCCCCCGGCUCAACCGGGGAAGCGGAGCCGAAACGACCGAUCUGGAGGGACGUAGGGGGACCUGGAACUUCCGGUGGAGCGGUGAAAUGCGUUGAGAUCGGAAGGAACGCCCGUGGCGAAAGCGAGGUCCUGGACGUCUGCUGACGCUGAGACGCGAAAGCUAGGGGAGCAAACGGGAUUAGAUACCCCGGUAGUCCUAGCCGUAAACGAUGGGCACUAAGUAGAGGGGUUUU
rnacentral:rRNA from 1 species